rnacentral:ncRNA from 1 species
GUGCUACUUUGAUGGAAGAACUCGACUGGAUGUUUCUCGAUAUGGCGUCUGGUUGGUUGGUGGAACGAUUUAUCUAGUUAAUUCCGACAACGAACGAGGCUUGUUAAAUAGGUGUGUGGUGCUCUGCACCCUCCACAUUUCUUAGAGGGACGAGCGACUCCUAACCGCACGAAACACAGCAAUAACAGGUCUGUGAUGCCCUUAAGUGUCCGGGGCCACACGCGCGCUAUACUGAAAGCAGUAGCGUGAUUUUAUCCCUGCUGUAAAGACUGGGUAAGCCGUGGAACCUCCUUCGUGAUCGGGAUAGGGGCUUGCAAUUGUUCCCCUUGAACGAAGAAUUCCCUAUAAGCGCGAUCAUAAGCUCGCGUUGGUUAUGUCCCUGCCCUUUGUACAUAACAUCCCGUUGCUACUACCGAUUGAAUGAUUCAGUAAGGUCUUCGGGACAUAUACCCGGAGCGGCCUUCGUGUUGUGCGGGUGUGUUGGAAAGAUGACAAAACUUGAUCAUUCUGAGGAAGUAAAAGCAUUGUAGGAUGUGCGCAAAAAUGUAUUUUUAAUGAGGUAACUA